rnacentral:rRNA from 1 species
UACGGAGAUGGCAAGCGUUGCUCGGAAUCACGUGGGCGUAAAGGGCGCGUAGGCGGGGAGGUAAGUCGGGUGUGAAAUCCCUCGGCCCAAACUGAGGAACUGCGCCCGAGACUGCGUUCUCUUGAGUCCCGAAGAGGAAGGAUGGAAUUCCCGGUGUAGCGGUGAAAUGUGUAGAGAUCGGGAGGAACACCGGUGGCGAAGGCGGUCUUCUGGACGGUGACUGACGCUGAGGCGCGAAAGCGUGGGGAGCAAACGGG